GUGGGGAAUCUUGCGCAAUGGGCGAAAGCCUGACGCAGCAACGCCGCGUGCGGGAUGACGGCCCUCGGGUUGUAAACCGCUUUCAGUGGGGGCGAACCAAGACGGUACCCACAGAAGAAGCCCCGGCCAAAUACGUGCCAGCAGCCGCGGUAACACGUAGGGGGCAAGCGUUGUCCGGAUUCAUUGGGCGUAAAGAGCUCGUAGGCGGUUCGAUAAGUCGGGUGUGAAACCUCCAGGCUCAACCUGGAGACGCCACCCGAUACUGUCGUGACUAGAGUCCAGUAGGGGAGCGUGGAAUUCCUGGUGUAGCGGUGAAAUGCGCAGAUAUCAGGAGGAACACCAGCGGCGAAGGCGGCGCUCUGGGCUGGAACUGACGCUGAGGAGCGAAAGCGUGGGGAGCGA
rnacentral:rRNA from 1 species